rnacentral:lncRNA from 1 species
AGACACAAUCACUGAAGGAGGAGAGUACAGGAGAUUUAGAGGAAGAAGAUCUGUGAAGAGGUUUGGGAGGAGUUAAGAAGGGAAAGCAAUCAGUCAUUUUUCCAAAGGCCAGUCUGCAGGGCUGGGACUGAGCACAGGCUGAAAUCAAGGUUGGACUACCUCUCAGCCCUUCUCAAGCCCUCCAGGCCUAGCAGUCUCCAUCUGAUCCUGUAUUGGAAAUGGGCAUGGAAGAUGCCACAACUUCUCAAGCUUUCCCUAGGAAAAGGGGUGGGUGAACUUCUGGCCUGAAGAAUCUGAGGAUGGAAGGUCAACUUUGCUCUUCUCCUGGGUUCUGGAACCAGACCUUCCUAACCUGCUCUGCUCACCUGGAGCCCCAGCCCACUGUCACCCAUGCCCUCAUCUCCAGACUCUUCUUCCAGCAAGUAAGAGUCACAGCAGCUAGGCUUGCAAAGCAGGGAUGGUGGCUUGGAGCACCAGCUUCCGUGUCAAGCAGGGCAGGCUGCACUCCCAGCGCCCUGGUGCCUCUGGCUCUCGAGGCUUGUUCCUCAUCUCUAGCUCCCUCACAGAGUUGUCCUGAGGCUCACAAUGGGAACA